AGGAAUUGAGCUGCUGAGUCAUUCAGGUUCAAAAUGCCUCAUCAAUGAUUCCAAGGUUAAAACAUUUUAAAAGCUGUUUUUUAAAGCUUGUUUGAUGCCGGGACCAGAGCUGAACUGACCUGCAGCUGCGUUUACUCUCUGAUGUGUUUCACUGUGAGGUUCCACACCGAGUUCCUCGGACUGUCAUGAGACAUCACAUACCUGUACUGUGGCCUUCUUAAUAUCUGAAGAAUCUGCAAACAAUUUUUGUGCUGAAAACUGAGCACGACACUGUUGUCCCGUGCAAGAGCAUUGGAAUGAUAGCACUGGAAUUUGCUGACUGAUGACAUAGGUGAACCCUUUGACUCAAUACCAUUUAUGGUCAACAGUGUUGUUUUUUUGUGUUAGUGUUUGUCUUCGUCACUAUUUUGUUGCUGUGGAGAGUCAACAUAGCCAAGAAACCCUUAUAAAGGAAAGCAUUUAACUUGGAGGCUGGCUUACAGUUUCGGAGGUUUAGUCCAUUAUCAUCAUGGUAGCAAGCAUGUCUACACACAGACAGACAUGGUGCUGAAGAAGUAGCUAGGAUCUACAUCCUGAUCUGCUGGCAGAGAGAAAGAGAGAGACUAGGCUUGACAAGGGCUUCUGAAACCUCAAAGCCCACCCCCAGGGACACACUUCCUCCAACAAGGCCGCACCUCCUAAUCCUUCUAAUCUUUCCAAAUAGUGCCACUUCCUGGUGACUAGCAUUGAAAUCUAUGAGCCUAGGGGGCUGUUCUUAUUCAAACCACCACAGUGUUCAAUCAGAAAACACAAUCCAUCUUUGUAAUUUUUAACAUAGAGGAUUUUGUUAAAUAAAUGCCAGGAAAAAAAAGAGAGAAAGCAGAAAGGGCCUGUGACUGUUACUGCUAAUUGUCAGCUGACAGAAUCUGGAAUCACAUGAGAGAUGGUCCUCAGCGAAUGUCUGUAAAAGAUCGCUUUGAUUAUUCUAAUGCAUGUGGAAGGCCAGUGGUAAUUGUGGAUGGGACCAUUCCCUCGGCAGAGGAUUCUGGACUGUAUAACAUGGAGAAAGAGAGCUGAACACUCAUCUCUCUGUUUCCUGGUUGUGGAUGUUGUGGGACCAGCUGGCUGCCUUGGAGUCUGUGCCAUGAUAACCUGAACCUUCUAAUCGUGAGACCAAACAAAACCAUUUUACCAUAAGUCUCAUUUGAAAGAGUAUUUUCAUCACAGCCACGGGAAAAGAGACUAGGUCAGGGAGGUAGUUUAUAUUAACACAGCUUGUGUGAACACCAGGAAAAUCCACCAUUUAGGCUGGAAGGAUAAAAUGAAAUGAGUAGGAAUUUUACAACCUAGAAAAUGCUGAGAGCAUGGGAUCCAGCCUCUGGGGAGGUGACACUAUCUGACCAGGCCUGGUCUGUCUAUGUUGAUACGGUGUGGUCAGUGCUGGGAGUGUCAGAAAUGAUCAGACACAACCAACCACCAUCAACAGAAUGAAGGGCUGUGUUGAAGCUACACUGCCAAGAAUUCUUUCCUCAUACUCUAGCUUUAGAUGGCCUCCUUCUAGCACACUCUACUAAUAUAGCUUUUCAAAUUGGUUGAUUUCAAGAAUCAGUGCAGAUUUUGGCAUGAAGCUCCCAAGUCAGAAUAGAGAAAAAAUGGGAUUAUACCAGCGAGAGAAAAUAAGCAUAGUCCUUGUAAACACACUUGAACAUUUUCAUUGCAGCAAUAACGAAUACAGGGAUAGACUCCUCUUAUAGAAUUUGUUUUCACACUAUCAUCUUCCUACCAAAAGGAGAAGUACAGUUGCUGUAGUCAAAUUAAGUAUUAUCCUAUCAAACCACAUAAAAAAGUAACAGACUACAUAUAGCUUUCUUAGGUUUAGUGAUAUUAAUAACUUCUGAAGCAUUUCAUGUCUCCUUCCUGCUGGGCCAGCUGCUCAGCUGGUCUAAUUCCUUUACCUAGUGGGUGACUCAGAUCUUUAAUAUUAAAGUGUCCAGACCUUUAGUGGCCAUACCUUCCUUUAGUUUGGAUUAUUUUGCAACAAACUUUGCUAUUGAAAGAAUAUGAACUCCAUACAUUCCUUCCCACCUCCACUUU
rnacentral:lncRNA from 1 species